CUCACCGACGCCCCACAUGUCAAGAUCUCCGAGGGCGACUUCGGACACAUCCGUGACGACGUGCCCCACCUCGCUGACUACUACGUUCCGGUGACCCAUUGCAGUUCAGAGAUGGUUUAUAUGAAUUGUUUAUGAUCUAGGCCGCUACCAAACGCCUCUGGAGAGCAGUAUACUAUUUCUGCAUUUACCAACACAUAUGGAGUAUUGGUUCUCCUGAUCCUAACUUCACAUUAGAUGGCCACUCAAAAGGCGUGAACCGUGUUGAUUACUUCACCGGUGGUGAUCGACCAUUUUUUAUUACUGGAUCUGAUGAUCAGACUGCAAAGGUUUGAGAUUACCAAACCAAGAGAUGUGUUCAAACACUUGAAGGACAUGCACACAAUGUGUCUGCUGUCUGUUUCCAUCUAGAACUACCUAUUAUAAUUACUGGCUCAGAGGAUGGCACAGUUCGCUUGUGGCACUCUACAACCUACAGGCUUGAGAACACUCUUCAUUAUGGUCUUGAGCGAGUUUGGGCUUUAGGAUACAUGAAGGGGUCAAGAAGGGAAAAUUAUGAUAAAAAUUGGCCGUGAAGUUCCAGUUGCUAGCAUGGACAACAGUGAAAAAAUCCUAUGGGCAAAACAUAACGAAAUCCAAACUGUUAGUAUCAAGACUGUUGGUGCAGGCAAUGAGGUUCUUCUUCUUUGCCAUGUUAAAUG